rnacentral:lncRNA from 1 species
AAAGAACACCAACUCUAUUUUAUUCAAAUUAAAACCCUAUUGCCAUUACACAAUCAUCCAUACCUAAAUUACAAUCAUUUUCGCAGUCAUGAAAACCUUCCAUCGGACCUUCAAAGCCAAGUCAUAAAAACUUCUUCUCCCUCUUUGCAAUUUUUCGCAUUUUCUUCUUAUGAGCACUCUCAGAUAUAUUUGUAAAAUCAAAAAUGUAAAGUUAGAUUAAUCCGGACAAAAAAAAUGUAUAAGUAAAUGGCCAGUAGAGACGAAAAUGUAAAGUUGAUUAAUGUAGACAAAAAAAAAACGUAAUAAUGUUGAAUUAAUGUGAAAAAUGUUAUGAAAUAAUAAUGUGGCGUUAUGACAUAAUAAUGUGGAAUUAAUUUAGAAAUUUUGAGUAGACAUUAUGAAAUAAUAUUUAAAUAUGAGAUAUAAUAUAAAAUAGUGGAUGAUGUAUAUAAUUUGUGGAAAAACUAUUUAGAAAUUGAGUAGAGGCCCUAUGAAGACAUACACGUCAGCUUUUUUGAUGAGGUGGAAAAUAUUUGCAUAUUUGGUUACGAAUCGGAUAUUUCGAAGAGCUACCGCUGAGCUCACCUUCUCAGUAUCAACAAUCACCGAUCCUAACCUUAUCCUUCAAUUGAGAUUAUUCAAAAGAGUUAGGAAUCAGGAUUUUCAUUUGUAUAGAUUUUUAUAGACCCGAGGCAAUGUUUCUAAGAUUCAUUGCGCGAUUUUGGAUGCUCUCCUCCUAAAAUGCAUAGAGACUUUCGAGGGCAGAUCCGGGGAGAGAGGGGGAGGAGGAUUGGGAGUAGAAGCAUUAAAAAAAUUAGAAUACAGAAAAAGAAAUUGUGGAUGGAAGACAAAACAAAAUUAGAGAUUAAAGAAAUUGUCGAAUGAAGAGGAGAAGCAGAAGAUCGAUAUGAUUCAAAAAAUUAGAAUGGAGAAAAUGAAAUUGUGGAGGGAAGACAAGAAAAU